UACGAAGGGGGCUAGCGUUGUUCGGAAUUACUGGGCGUAAAGCGCGCGCAGGCGGUUUUUCAAGUCAGUGGUGAAAGCCCGGAGCUCAACUCCGGAACUGCCAUUGAAACUGUAAAACUUGAGGACGAGAGAGGUGAGUGGAAUUCCCAGUGUAGAGGUGAAAUUCGUAGAUAUUGGGAAGAACACCGGUGGCGAAGGCGGUUAGCUGGGCAGUUGCUGACACUGAGGCGCGACAGCGUGGGGAGCAAACAGG
rnacentral:rRNA from 1 species